AGCCGCGGUAAUACGUAGGGGGCGAGCGUUGUCCGGAAUGACUGGGCGUAAAGGGUGUGUAGGCGGUUUGUCAAGUUGAAAGUGAAAUCCCCGGGCUUAACUCGGGUGCUGCUUUCAAAACUGAUAGACUUGAGUGCAGUAGAGAAAAGUGGAAUUCCUAGUGUAGCGGUGGAAUGCGUAGAUAUUAGGAGGAACACCAGUGGCGAAGGCGACUUUUUGGACUGUAACUGACGCUGAGGCACGAAAGUGUGGGGAGCAAACAGGAUUAGAUACCCUGGUAGUCCACACUGUAAACGAUGGAUACUAAGUGUAGGAGGUAUCGACUCCUUCUGCGCUGUAGCUAACGCAUUAAGUAUCCCGCCUGGGGAGUACGACCGCAAGGUUGAAACUCAAAGGAAUUGACGGGGACCCGCACAAGCAGCGGAGCAUGUGGUUUAAUUCGAAGCAACGCGAAAAACCUUACCAAGACUUGACAUCGUAUGACCGUCAUAGAAAUAUGAUUUUCCCUUCGGGGACAUAUAGACAGGUGGUGCAUGGCC
rnacentral:rRNA from 1 species